rnacentral:rRNA from 1 species
GAUCCUGGCUCAGAAUCAACGCUGGCGGCGUGCCUCAGACAUGCAAGUCGAACGCGAAAGUCCCCUUCGGGGGACAAGUAGAGUGGCGCACGGGUGAGUAACACGUAGGUAAUCUACCUUCGGAUGGGGAAUAACACCGAGAAAUCGGUGCUAAUACCGCAUAAUGCAGCGGCACCUAAUGGUGACAGUUGUUAAAGCGGGGGAUCGUAAGACCUCGCGUCUGAAGAGGAGCCUGCGGCGGAUUAGCUAGUUGGUAAGGUAACGGCUUACCAAGGCUACGAUCCGUAACCGGCCUGAGAGGGCGGUCGGUCACACUGACACUGACAUACGGGUCAGACUCCUACGGGAGGCAGCAGUCGGGAAUUUUGGGCAAUGGGCGAAAGCCUGACCCAGCAACGCCGCGUGAAGGAUGAAAUCCCUCGGGAUGUAAACUUCGCAAGAACGGGAAGAAUAAGUGAGGGUUAAUAUCUCUUACGAUGACGGUACCGUUUGUAAGCUCCGGCUAACUCCGUGCCAGCAGCCGCGGUAAUGCGGGGGGAGCAAGCGUUGUUCGGAUUUACUGGGCGUAAAGGGCGCGUAGGCGGCCAGCACAAGUCAGUUGUGAAAUCUCCGAGCUUAACUCGGAAAGGUCAACUGAUACUGUGCGGCUAGAGUGCAGAAGGGGCAACUGGAAUUCUCGGUGUAGCGGUG